rnacentral:rRNA from 1 species
GACGAAGCUGGCGGCGUGCUUAACACAUGCAAGUCGAACGGAAAGGCCCUGCUUUUGGGGGGUGCUCGGGUGGCGAACGGGGGAGUAACACGUGAGUAACCUGCCCUUGACUUUGGGAUAACUUCAGGAAAAUGGGGGUAAUACCGGAUAGGAACUCCUGCUGCCAGGGGGGGGGUGGAAAGUUUCGGCGGUUGGGGAUGGACUCGCGGCUUAUCAGCUUGUUGGUGGGGUAGUGGCUUACCAAGGCUUUGACGGGUAGCCGGCCUGAGAGGGUGACCGGCCACAUUGGGACUGAGAUACGGCCCAGACUCCUACGGGAGGCAGCAGUGGGGAAUAUUGCACAAUGGGCGGAAGCCUGAUGCAGCAACGCCGCGUGCGGGAUGACGGCCUUCGGGUUGUAAACCGCUUUCGCCUGUGACGAAGCGUGAGUGACGGUAAUGGGUAAAGAAGCACCGGCUAACUACGUG